CCUGCUGCUAGAGUGAUUGCAGGGGUGGCUGACGUGUCGCAUGUGUGCCAGUAAGUGGCAGAGGGGAGAGAGGCCAUGUCUGCUCUCCGUAUUCUGACCUGUGAACAUCUGAGUGAUCAGGAGCCUAAUAGU
ensembl:snoRNA